UACGGAGGGUGCGAACGUUGCUCGGAAUCAUUGGGCGUAAAGCACACGUAGGCGGCCGAACAAGUUGGAUGUGAAAGCCCAGGGCUCAACCCUGGAAGUGCACCCAAAACUGUUCGGCUUGAGUGCCGGAGGGGCUCAGAGAAUUCCCGGUGUAGAGGUGAAAUUCGUAGAUAUCGGGAGGAAUACCAGUGGCGAAGGCG
rnacentral:rRNA from 1 species